GGAACUUACGCUAAUACCGCAUACGACCUUCGGGUGAAAGCAGGGGACCUUCGGGCCUUGCGCGGAUAGAUGAGCCGAUGUSGGAUUAGCUAGUUGGCGGGGUAAAGGCCCACCAAGGCGACGAUCCGUAGCUGGUCUGAGAGGAUGAUCAGCCACACUGGAACUGAGACACGGUCCAGACUCCUACGGGAGGCAGCAGUGGGGAAUAUUGGACAAUGGGCGCAAGCCUGAUCCAGCCAUACCGCGUGGGUGAAGAAGGCCUUCGGGUUGUAAAGCCCUUUUGUUGGGAAAGAAAAGCAGUCGAUUAAUACUCGGUUGUUCUGACGGUACCCAAAGAAUAAGCACCGGCUAACUUCGUGCCAGCAGCCGCGGUAAUACGAAGGGUGCAAGCGUUACUCGGAAUUACUGGGCGUAAAGCGUGCGUAGGUGGUUGUUUUAAGUCUUGUUGUGAAAGCCCUGGGCUCAACCCUGGGAAUUGCAGUGGAUACUGGGCGACUAGAGUGUGGGUAGAGGGUAGUGGAAUUCCCGGUGUAGCAGUGAAAUUGCGUAGAGAUCCGGGAGGAAACAUCCAUGG
rnacentral:rRNA from 1 species